UUGUAAAAAUAAAAGGACUGCAGUUGCGUGGCCCUAAAAGCCGUGGAGGGCCUAAGGCCUCGAAGCACAAGAUGGUGACCAGGAGCAGCCCGGAGGCCAAGGGCCUAGGCCCUUCAUUGGCGGCUGAGCACGUCAGUCCCUGCUUGUCGACGAAUGAGCGCGCGCCCAUUGUUGACGCGCCAGGCCCCGCCCCCCGCCGCAGCCUCGCGGAAUCCCGGCCGCGCCGUCCGCUGUCCCCCGAGGGGAGGCCUGGGCGGGCCGCUCCUGACCUCCGCUCCCUUCCUUUCCCGUCGCGGACCUCCCCGGGCUCUGCCACAGACUGUCGUCCCCUCGGUGGGCGGCUCCUCGGCCGCCCGGCCCGCCCCGCUUCGGGCCGCGCUGCCCAGGGCCUCCGGUCUGCGGCGGCCCAGCCGACGGCCACCGUCUUCGCCCUCGGCGUCGCCUCCGCCCGGCCGACGCCCCAGCGAGGCGCUGCCCGGUGCCAUGUCCGCCUCCGGAGACCCAGGCCAGGCCCCAGGAGGCCAGGAUAGCCCCGUGGGCGCCGUGGGGGCGUGGGCCCCAGUGGCCGCUGGCGGUGGCGGCGGCGGCAACGGGGUGGUCCUCGAGUCCGGGCCCCAGCAGGCGCAGGCGGCCGGAGUCACCGGGUCGGCGGGAGGCGUCGGCAUGGAGGUCGUGGGUCUCCAUCUGGCCAUCGACCCCGAGGGCGGCGGCGCCCACGCCGAGGAGGCCGAGGACGACUCGGACUUCGGGCCGGCGGACGAGGACGGGGAGGAGGCGCCGGAGGACGACCUGGACAUCCUGGUGGACGCCCAUCAGUUCCCCAUGGUCAGUUUCCGUUUCAUGUUCCUGGACUUGGUGCACUCGCUGCUGCACCGCAUCAACUGCAACAACCAUAUCCUCGUGCGGCCCCGCGGCGGCGGCAUGGUGGUCCCACCCCAGCCUCAGCUACGCGACAGCCUGGGCCAGCACCCCGUGCCCCUGGCUGCGCUGCCUACACCUGCAGCGGCCGCCGACGUCCACGAGUCCGAGGCCUCGUCCGAGGAGGAGGCCGACUGGGAGACGGCGGAGGAGCCGGACGAGGAGCCGGAGAUGGGGCCGGCGGCCGCCGAUGGGACAACUCCAUACCAGUAUGAAAACUCUGACAAAGAGGCCCAAGGCUCUGAGAGGGGGAAAGAAAAAGAGAAAUUUGACAAUAAACAAGACGGACCUAACUAGAAGGGAUCCGGCCCAACAGAGAACAGGGCCAGAAAAUCCAGAAGCCCGUGGGAAUUUUAUUAACACCAAUUCGGCAUUCCAAACUGCAUCACCAAAAAGACUCCUCUCUUACUUGUGACUGGUAUAUUUGACAGCAUUUGUUCUGGUUAAAAAUAAAUUUGUUUUAAAUUAAUAAGAUGGAACAUAAGCAGAUUUUAUUUAGAUAGAUUAUCCUGACUCAAAUCUUUUUCCUCUGUGUUUUGAUCCACUUCACCUUCACUGACACGUAUCGCCCUCCACCAUGCGGUGCGCCUACUUUAAAUGGUUUUAUUACAGUCCAAAAUAAGUUAAAAUGUUAAGUGUAAAACAAUUUUUGUAAGGAGAGAGAUGUAGGUCAAGCCUUUAGAGCUACACUGUCUACUACGUUAGUGAUUAGCCAUACGUGGCUACUGAAAUAUGGCUAGUCUAAUUUGAAGUGUGCUGUUAAGUAUAAAACAUUACAUUUAAGUCACUGAUGAUUUUAUACUGAUUACAUGUUAAAACAAUAGUAUAGGGCAGCCCGGUGCUGCAGCGGUUUAGCGCCGCCUGCAGCCCAGGGUGUGAUCCUGGAGACCCUGGAUCGAGUCCCGCGUCAGGCUCUGCAUGGAGCCUGCUUCUCCUUCUGCCUGUGUCUCUGCCUCUCUGUCUCUCAUGAAUAAAUAAA
rnacentral:lncRNA from 1 species